rnacentral:lncRNA from 10 species
UAGGCAAUGGGGACACCUGGGAAACACAGUAUCCAGAAGACCAGCCCAUCUAUAAAAUUGCCAUGGAAAGGAAGUAAAUGAGGAACAGCCAAAAAUUCUUGGAAGUAGAAAGCACAGCAGGUGUCAAGGAGCCCAUCUCCAUUUUAGAAAGACAGAGAUGCGUUCUGGGCCGUUGCCCGGGAAAGAAUGUCUACCAGGACAGUUCUGAGAAGGCUCAGCAUCAUAUCUAAACACAGGAAAGGAAUUCCCUGUUGGAAAAUUCAGGAUGACAACUGUGGGUAGCAAGCCAAGGCAAAGGGCAGAACGU